ACAUGCUGGAAAAGCUUUAGAUAGGUCAGUGUAUUUCUUUCUUACGAGGUUUCUUUAAGAAUUCCCUUUUAUUUAUGCCAUGGUUAAGUUACCCAUCAUGAACACAUCCACAAUGAAGGGUAAGUCAUUCACAGCAUUCACAGAGGGCACUACUGUUUCCUAGUUUUCCACAGUAAAUUACUACACAGGGAGAAUCUGGACUGACAUAGUUGUUAUGCUGACAGUUAACUUUCAGUAGGUAAUACACUAUAAUAUUUUACGAGGUGAAUGAUAAACAUUUAAGACAGAUUACUGGUGAAUGUGUUAGAAUCUCCAUAACUUCAAACCUUUACAUCAGAAUAUAGUCUCCUUAAAACAUGGCCAAAGAUGCCUACCCUAAGCAAUUCAGCUGCAUUUUUGUAGCCUAUAAUAUGGAGAUAAUUAGGAUGGAUUAGAAGGUUCAUCUCUGGCCUUUCAUUGUGUGUGCAUAGCUGGUCAAAAUAAGAAUUAAAUUGUAAUAUGCUGUUAUGAUUAUACUUUACAGCUGCUUUGAAUAGGUGUCAGUGGUUUGGAAAAUACACAGGACAGAGGCCAAGUACUACAGUUCCCUCGGGUUCUUGAGCUGAGGAAAGGCUGGGGAGAGAGCUCUCUGUGGAACAGGAAGCACUUGGCUGUGGUAGGGUGAUGCUUCAUCUUUGCCUUCAGCUGUCAGUUCAUGAUGUUUUAGCUUGUACUGUUACAAGCCAAAUUCACAGAAAUUAAUUUGUAGAUAAACAAAUGUGUAAAGAAAAUAACUAGCUCAAAACAUGAUUUGUAUUACUGCUUCCUCUCUCUCCUCUAUGAAGUAAAUAACCCAGAACAUGUCACUGGAGCAAGCAGAUAUGAAAUGGACUUGUAGCUAACAUUACAGAUUUGUUUCUUUAAAACUUACUAUUCUUAUUGAUGACUUAGCAAUGAAAAUAUGACUUAUUUUCCUCACUGUACUGUAUAGUAGAUAUGUUGGGGAUUUUCAUAAAGCUUUUUUUAGUACACAAUGUUUCUACUUGUACUUUUAUGAUUAGCAAAUCUUGAUGAGAAACUGUUCCCUGUUUAGUUAGUUUAAAACUUUUCUUCUUUUGAAAGGCCUUUCCUUUUGUUUUCAAAUUUCUUUAAUGUUCAACUUUCUUUUCCCACCUGAUGUUAAAUAUUUUCUUCAAAUCUGUUCUUUUUAUCAAUUUCAGCAUUUUUUGUUAGGCUAAAUGAUCUUUUUCUCACAUUGACAUUGUAGUUUUCUUUGUUUUGUGACAACCUUGUUAAUUUCCAGAAUGAGUCAUUCCAUGCUUCCUUCAGCUUUUAAUAUUUUUCUAGCUCUGAGGGCUUUAUAGGUGCUUUUUCACAAUAAUGUCAAUUUCUUGUAGCAUUUAUCAUCUAUUCUUGUUUCAAUUUUCAAUAAUAUCUUUGAUAUUGGUCAAAUCCAUUUUUGGGUCUUCUCUUCUCUUCUCUUCUCUUCUCUUCUCUUCUCUUCUCUUCUCUUCUCUUCUCUUCUCUUCUCUUCUCUUCUCUUCUCUUCUCUUCUCUUCUCUUCUCUUCUCUUCUCUUCUCUUCUCUUCUCUUCUCCCUUCCUCUUCUCUUCCUCUUCUUUCUUCCCUGGACAAACCCACAUGUACAUUCAAAAUAUUAAAAAGGUGUGUUAAAAUGUGUUGUCCUGGCAGUGUCUGUCCCUACCAUCAUUAGGAAUAUCAUUCAGAUACACAAUACAAAACCAAACCCCAAAUUCAUUAGGAGUUGUGCUGAAAUAAAACGUGUCAGAUCUGUCACCUUGAAAUAUUGUUUUUUUUUCAGAGCACUUGCUUAUUGACAUGGGUGUUUAAUAUUGAAUGAAAUAUGUGGAGAAUUCCAUAUAUGUGGAGAAGUGUUGGCACAGGAUCUCAAACUUUUGCUUUGUUAAUAUCAAGAUACAAAAUGAAAGUAAACCUACUAUUUUUGUCCACCUCAAUUUUGUUCGGCAUGUUAGAACUUCAAGGUUAUUCAAAACCUAUUAACAAGUAAAUACUUUAUUUUCAUAUCUUAAAUGAAUUCCAUUUUCGACCUCUAUCUACUGUUACUUCCAUUUUUUAAUUCGUCUGAGGCAUUACUUUCCCAAUUAAUCUGCCUCCAAGAACACAAAAAUACAAGAAAAAUGAUGACUUUGAAGCCCUUUCUCAUCCCUUUCCUGAAAGAGAAGAUGUAACCCAAUUUGGUUUUCAAAGCUAAGCAAAAGGGCAGUACAUGUGUAUAAUUUCCUCUCAGAAAAAGAUCAAAACUUGACACUUUGACAGGAGCCUGGUACCAUCAGACUCUUGGAAGGGUUGUGUGAAAGACAAAGUCAAUUCACAUAAUCUGGUUUAAUUUUUUUACUUCCCUGUAAGAACCAGUUGAAAAAAGCUGAACUGUUAGAUGCACUAAAAAAAGCAGAGUUUAAACUUGUUUUUUUAGACAGGUAUCUGUCUGGCCUAGACAUGGAAAAGGCUUCAACACCAUGUCUUCUGGCAAAGCAAAGCAAAGUUUUAUGGGUUAGAAAUCUUAUAUAUUGUUUUCUCCCAGCUUUACCAGGUGAUUGUGAAAUAAACUCCACAUCCCCCUACAAACUCCGUCUUUUCUGGCAAAACCAGUCUCUCCUAGCUGAUACUUUAAGUGCCAAAACAGCUGCUCUUUAUUAAGUCUGCUGAAGAAUGACCUUCUAACCCCACUAUGUCUUGGAGCAGAGCGAUUAUCGAGUGUGGGAAGUAAGCAAUGAUGGAUUGAAGGGCAAAUUUUGAACAUUUUUAAUAUAUGUUUAUGUACACACAUAUGCAUCCAUGCAUGAGCACUGAGUCAAAUUUGUCUACAUUUCCUUCAUACUUGUUUUUGGCUGUUUGAUCACAAUUUACCCCUUUGUUAUGUAGCACUCAACACUACUGCUUGACGCCCACUGCUACUACUCAACACCUCUUAUGAACAAGUGUUUCCAACAUAUUUAUUGAAGGUUGAUUCUGUCUUUUAUACACAAAACCUCUCUGUGAAGAAAGAUGCACCACUGGCUGAGUUUCUGACUAUAUUUUCAUCUCUGUGGGAGCCAUGGCCAUGUUGUAAAAAUGUUCUUACUCCAGUUGCAAAUCUCUUCCUAUGUUCUAGACAAAUGGAUAUGCCUCUAGGGAUAUUUGGUUAUCUUCCGUCCUGCUAUGGAACAAAGAAAUGGAAGGAAGAAAUGAAAAUAAUAUUUCAUACUCCGUUUAACAUUCCCAUUAAUUUCUGCUUGGAUUAUUAAAUGUAAAGCUGGAAGCAGAAAGCACAGCUUUGACCACACUAUUAUAUCAUCUCACUGCCUGGUUACCUGUUAGCAACACAGUAGUUUCCCACAGAGACAGAUAAGGCUAAAUCCUGAAAUGAUAAAUGAAGAGUGGGCAGGAGUGAAUUAUUUAGCAUCCAAUUCCCUUCCAGUCUCCAAACACAAGGUAAUGUGUCCUCCUGGGAGGUGACAUUAACUUUUGCUGAACUUUCUAUAGAAGGCCAGGUAGAAGCAGGUCUGCCUUACUGCUGGGGACAGUGGUGGUAUGCAGAGCUUCUCCCAGCUCCUCUGCAGCCUACCCAGGCAUGGAAUUUGGCCCUCCACUUUGAGACACAUAAGGCACCCACUGUCCUUCAUGUCAGCCAAGCAGUGAGCUGUGCCUACACUUUCACAUGUCCCCUUCUCCUCCUGUUCUUACUGUGCUGGUGUAGCUGUCAUUACAGAGUGUAAAGAGGCAUUUUCUGUGCCAGUGAAGAAAAUUCUCUCAGUCAGUAACUGCAGAAUAAGGCACUGUUUUCAGUGGUGUCGAUGAUUAAAGGGCUCUUUUUCUGCUGCUUCUUUUAAGGAUAAUGUACAUCCUGAUAGGAAAUUUGGACAAACAAAACAAAAAUGUAUACUUUCAAAAACAUCAAUCCAAAAUGCAAAACUCCAGUGCAUGGUUAAGCUAUGUAUUAAAGGCAUGCAUAUACUUAAACAGUUGAUCAUGCAGAGUAGAACCCAUUCCUACGUUUGCAGCAGGCUUUAAUAAUAGCCCAUUUAAUGGUAGUAAAUAAAUAAAUAAAUAAAUCUCCCUGGAACAAGCCAUUAAGCUGAUAUCUGCUAGGUCAAUUCCAGCCAAAAGCAAGCUGGCAUAUUCACAGAUCUUAUCAAACAUUUUUUUCCUAUGCUGAUGUCACAUUUAUCAUUUUUUUUCUCUUUUAUUUGUGAAUUUGGUGGCAUUCUUCUUACAGCAAGUGCUGACCUACAACUACAAUAGAUAUGAACUCCCUGGAAUAAUUUAUCAUAAUCAUCAUGCUCCGGUAAACAUUGUUGAUGUUGCUGCACAGAGGAGUUUUCAAAUAACACAUAUUGAAUGAUUUCAGACUCCAGGAACAAUCAAGAAUAUGGAAAAAAAAUGUUUAGACAAAACUGCACAUUUCUUCACCUGUGGCCAAUGUCACUGGAGUGGUGUGAGCUGCCUUUGCACUCCAGUUCACUCUGAGGGAUGCUGAGCAGGGCAGUCAGUCUGGAGAAGGCCUCCCCAUCUUCUGACUGUCCUGAAGUUGGAAGUAGCCUUAAAGGACUUGCUGUGUGUAACAGUGAGAAAAACCUCCAUAACUAGAAUAGGGCAUACAUGGCUGCUGUACUAGUCAGAUGGCUGAGAAGCACUACAGCAACAUAAACUGUGAUGCCUUAAAAUGCAACACUACUGCACUUUUGUAAUAUAGGAACCAGAAGACCAGCCAUGACUGACCUUGGACCAGGGUCAUUGUAGUGCUGUCACUGUCAGUCCUCUACCACUCUCUCCACAGUAUGGAGCAGCACAAGGGACUCCCACAGCAUAACAGAGCAGAGCCUCUCCAGAUAUGGUAAUUCUUAUUUGCUUCAGCAGUGGUUUGUUCUUCGCUGAAAAGCAAGGGUUAACACCCCUAUCUCCAGCUAUGGUACUCUCCCUGUCCUGCUGAAGAAUGUAUGGUCAAGCCCUGGGGACACAGAGCCCAUACAGUAAAUAUCUGAGCAUAUUGCAUCUGCCAGAGGGUGAAGUGAGAGGUGAGCAGGGCUGCAGCUGAUGCUCAGCAGAAUUUCCAGGCUGAUGCCAUUCCCAUGCUACACAUCUGCUGCAGGCUGGAGCUGCUGGGGAUGGAGGCAUCACAAAGAAAUGAGAUUUAAGUAUUGGUGAAAUAACAGUCUGGGCUCUGUCUCACCAGUGCCUAAGCUGUGCUUCUUCCAAACCAAUUUAAUGUCCAGCCCUCACCCAAUCAUUCAUGUGUUGUGCUGCAUUUGUACAGACAUUGACGCAUCAGCUACAAAAGAAACAUGCAUUUAAUAGACUGAGAUGAAGAUAUGGGUGAAAAGCCUUUACAGAAAGGAGAAAAAGUACUGUGGGCCAUGAUGAUUUCUUCUUUUAAAACAGACAUAUCUUUCUACCAGUUCACACACGAAAGACGAAAUCAUGCUAAUUUUUUUCUCAAAAUAAACAAGAAAUUACCUCUGUUAACUCUGCAGUAGGUGCUCUUUUCUUGUGCACUUGUUGCUGCAGAAGCUCCCUCACUUCACUAAAUGUAUGGAAGUUCAGCCUUCCCGGCUCACCAGGGAGGGCAAAAUAUCUGCAGGUGAAACCCACCUGCACAGCUGAGCAUACUUUCAUUCUGUAUUCCAUCUUAUAUCCCAACAAGUCCAGUUGUCCUUAUCCUUUUCCCUUGGUGAAUAUCAGAAGACUUCUGUUGGUUUUCAAGGAUGCAGAGAAUGCAAGAUAGCUCUCUCUAAAACAUUUUGUUGAAGCCAUGGAGUACAGUCAGCAGCAAGACACUGGCUUUAGCUGUGUCUUGUACCAAAUCCACACAGUCUGCUCUGCAUCAAAGACUUACAUCUUCACUUCUGUUAGAAAGAGACACCCACCAGGCUACUCUUCUGGACAGAGCUGAGAUAGAACCUCUCAGCUGCAGAGGCAAAACUGAGCGCUUCUUUUCCAAGGAUGAAGGGCUGGACUGCUCCUCCUCAGGAAACAGCACAAUAAAUCGGUUUGCUGCUCCUGCAGGGAAGGACCAGGGAGGACAGCAGAUGCCAGCUGCUGCCUCUUCUCCCCACCGCCACUGCCCGGGCCAGUAUAACCUGGCUGCUUUCUGAGAAGCAGAAGCAAACUUGGCUUCUUAGAGACAGAAAAGGAAGCAGCAGAGUUCUGUUCAUAUGCUACCCUUUGUAAUUACCUGUUGCAAAAAGCUGUUUACAUGUCCUUUCCUGAGUUCAUGCCAAGGUAAAAUAUUCUCUGUUUCAACCAGAAACUCUGUUUUAAACUUGGGAAUCUUUCCAAAGUGUAUCUAUAACAAGACAAGGUAUUGUUAGACUGACAGCCUGUAGUUUUUAUUUGGAAAAGUAAUGUCGGAAGAAACUCCUAUACAGCACUGAGACUCAUCUUUAUAAGAAAACAAAACCAGACAAAAAUAAUGCUCUUCUACUCUAUGGGCUUUUCUGAAAUUUUGAUUCUGUCAAGAGAUUUGAAGAUCUAAAAUAGGACCACCUGAAUGUCCUGAGCAUUGAAUAAUAUCUCUAGUUGUUGAAUAUUUGACUCUUCCUGAAUUUAGGAUCAAUGGUAACUUUGUCGAUAGCUCAAUAGAAAAUAUCAGAGUGAAAAGCAGAGCCAAAUCAUGAAUAUUUUUAUUAGAUUACAAAAAUAAAACUUGCCUCAUCAUUUCACCAGUCACAGAUCAUCAGUUAUAUUUCAUUGGCCAUAUUAUUUUUGAACUGCCUCUAACAAAAUGCUACAGACUUUUGACUUGUGUUUGUAGAAAUGAGAAUAAUUGAAAAAAAAGUAUGUGAGUCAUUAGAGAAAUAGUACCAGUCCAAGGGAUUUCCCUCAGAAAGUGAGCUUAGGUGGUAUAUAAUAUAUAUUUAUUAAUUCAGCAACUUAAUAUUUGUGUAUAGCUCAGUUAGAGCUAUUCCAAUGAAUUAUGUUGCACAAUAACUUCAGACAUCUCUACUAAUCCUACAGAACAUCAAAAGCAAUGCUGGCUGCUAUUCAGCACUGGGUUCAGUGCCAUGACAACAGAUGGAAUUCAUGGCUGAGGAGUAAAAAAACACACUUCCAUCCCCCUGUCACUUUUUGUAAGAAUCCCUAAAGAGAAAAUUAUGCAAAAUAGUCAAAACUGAAUGUAGAACAGGAAUGCCUGUGACUGUGUAAAUCUGCAUUUACACAAAACCAUUUAUUUGUGAAACAGAAUGUAAGUGGUAAAAGUAGAUAUGGAAAUCUUAUUUAAAUUCCUGCAAAGGACAAAGAGGAGGAGGAGGGAAAAUGGGCUGGAUCUCUCUUCCUGUGAGUUCAUGGAGAGCAGACUGAAAUUCAUAAUAUUAUGGUCACAGGCAGAUGACAUGAGAAUGAUUUUUUAUGUUGGUAAAUGAAUGUUCCUAUGUUUUGUGAAGAGAUCAUUCUGAGACAUUUUAUCUAAAUCUGUACAUUUUGCAGUACAAUUUAAUUUGGCAAUAUUCUGAUAACAGUAGAUUGAACAUUUUGGACAUUACUGUCCUGUACUUAAGAAAACAAUAAAUGAAAACCUGACAGUUAAAAGUGCUUGUUGGUUUACAUUACCCAUUAAAAAGAAAACUAUUCAUAUGUAUGGGAAUUGUAAAUGUGAAGGAAAAUAGGUCUUUCACUUAUUUUUGUUGAUGAUUGUUUUGUUUUUUUAAACCUAGUUAACAUCCCACGGAUAUGGUGAUGAGUCAGAUGUGUCUACUAGGCAACUGCUAAAGACCACUAUUACUUCAAAAGACCAGGCAGUCAAACUUACAAGUUUACAAGAAAAAAUAACUAUAUUGAUGCUCAAAAAAGGUCAAGUAACAAUAGGCUCAGUGUUACAGGUAGAAGUGAGAAUUCUGGGAAGUGAGAUGAAACUAAUAGAAAAUGUAGUCUUAAGACUGGAUGCAGCAAUGCAUUUUUCAAAGAUUUGCUAAGGAUUUUGCAUGAGCAGAUAAUACAUGUGCAAAGGAAUAUAAAAUAGAAAUGGCAACUCUUUUAAGGUACCCUCUGGCUACUUAUCCCUCUGUCUAAUAGAAGGACAGUGCUCCAUAAAUAGAUUUUCAGAAUUGUCUUCACAUUUUUCUAGGCAGUAAAAAUGUGCUGUCCAUCAGAACCAUCUGUAGUACAGAACAGAAGCAGGAGCGAUUUUUUCCUGCAAAACUCACCAUAUGGUUCUGCAUUCAUUUUAUUUUGGAAUGCUUGUUUAGUAUCCUGGUGAUUGGGUGCUGCAGGAAAAAACGGAAUGUUUUAACAUUUCCUCACCUAGCUACAAUGUCUGUAGCAAACUAGCAGUGGUUUGCCAUUGACAGAAUACAAAAGGAGUGAAAUAUAUGACUUGCUUGACUAAAUAUAUUAUGCCUAUAUGGUUGUCCUUUGAAGAGCUUUGACUCCAGGUGUUCUUGUGUUGUAGCCUUUUCUAUGUCACUGAGUAUUUUUUAAUUUCUUUUUUUUUAAACAUAUGGUGAAAGCAAAAGGCUGAUAAUAGCUGCAAAUUUUUUUUUUUAUUAUUUUUUGACUUGUUCUUUAAUUUAUUACAGUAGUUAUGACUCUGAAGUAUCACUGUAAUUUUUUUCCUGGAAUACCUGAUGUUUGUGUCCGGGUCUUUGGUCUGACCUAUGACAAAGAACAAGCACAGUUAUGAAAGACUUCUCUGCUCAAGCAGUGUGACUAGACGCUCAGCUGUGCAUAGUUGCAUUCAAGGGUAUUCAGUUGCAGAUUUUAGAUUUGAGGGGCAUUUUGAAAAUAUGGUCAAGAGUAUGUGUCAGCUAUGUGUCAGCCUUGUUUUGGGGUCCUGGUUCUUAUACUACAAAAGCAUUUAUUUGGCCUUUAGUAAGACUCCUUCACCUGAUGUUUUACAUAAAAUUUAAUGUAUGACUAAAUCAGCCUUGUUAAAGCUCCACAUCACCUCUCUGGAGACAGAAAUUAAUAAUGAUAGAGUUAUGUCUUUAUAAGGCUAAGGAGGAUUUUAAUGUGCUCAUUAAAAAAGAAAUUCACUAACAAAGUUAACAUUGUCAUACAAUAGAAAAAUUCCUAAUUUUGUGGUGCACAAUGGGGCAUCCAAUUUAGGAAGGGUCAGUGAGCUUCAGAGGUCCCUUUCCUCCUUUUUGGAAUGAAUACUUUCUUUGGAAAUCUACCUUUUGAGGAGAGGGUGGAAGGCAGCAAGACCUUUUGAGAUGACAAUGAGAUCAAAAAAGAAGGAGUGAUUAUUCAAAUCCCUCAGAGAAAUAAAAGCCUGAAGUAAGAAGAACUGAACCCAAAAAGGACCAGGCAGGGCGGGUAGCGGGCAAAGGGGAAUGAGAAGCAGAAACUGAAUGCAGAGGGCAAGGCCUGAAUGGGAAGCAGUGAAAGAAUUAGGAGUUGAAAAGGGAAGGAGGAGGGGAAAUUAGGGCUGAAGAAGAGAAGAAAGCAGUGAGAGGCACAUCAUGGUGAAUGAAGCAGAGAUGGAAAGUUUAUUCUUCUCAGCCCAUAGCAGUUCUUUUGCAUACUUUAUGUGAUGGAUCUAUUUUGCUAAAGCACAGCUUAAUUGUGUUGCUGGUCCUGAAGUCAGUUUUAUUAAAUUUUCCAUUUUUGCAUCUGUUGUCAGAGUGGGCCACACUGGUGAGUGGCAGGUACUGUAAAGUUUCAGAAGGCCAUGAGACAGCACAUCUAGUCCUUCACUUGGUUGCUUAGAUACACCAAUGAAUUGUGUUAGGAAUUUUUCACCUCACAUUUUCACUCCCCUAUGCUUCAACUAUUGCAUUUUAGAUAAUAACAUGAGCAGACUCCAGGCAGGCAAAAAAUAAAUUAUUUUUAUGAAGAAAGCUUCUUAUAGCACAGCUGCCAUAACAGCAAGCCCUACUAGAUCAAGUAGACUUUCUCAUAAUUUUUCUAAAAUUAUUAUUUUGCAACCUCUGUACUUAACAUCCCAAUUAAUUAAACUUUAAGUGAACUUCCAACUCUUAAAAAAUUAAAAUCAUUGUCCUUAUUAGACAAAGAAAAACCUAGAUUUAUCCUAUAGUAAUUUUCUUCAGGAUUUGAGAAUAAUAGUCCAGCUGUAAGUGAAGUUUCCCUUUCAGUACUGGGACGUAAUAAGACAGAAAUCAGUGUCAUCUCCAGGCAUGGCCUGCAGCUUUGAAAGAGUCAGCACACAGAAACCUUGUGAAGAGUUAUCUCCUUUUCUGUCAUUUAGCCUAUUUUAUAAUUUGGCUCACAUUGAGUCUCUUUCUGGCUGCUUAGAGAUCUGGGAGAGCUUCAUGGGUCCUAGACAUAAAUUGAGUCUAACCUCUUUGAGAAAGAAAAUAAGGUGAAGCAGGUGUCAAGGAGGGAGAGGGAGAGGAAGAGGAUGAUGAGGGCAAGAUCAAGGAAGAUGAUGAAGAUAAUAAUGAGAACAAGGAGGAGGAAAAUAAAGAGAGAGAAAGGGAGGGAAAAAGCAAGAGAGGAAGAGCGAAGGAGCUGAUUAUUAAUGAAGUUUAGCUAAGAAGUUACAGGAAAGAUGGUGGAUUUCUUAGCAGUGAAAAACCUGUUUUACAAAUAUUUAAAUGCAUUUUAAAUGUUUAAAUAUUUUAUUUCAUCCCAUGAAUUUAAGAAAAAUAAUUUCAGAAAUAAAGAAAGUGCACUGAAUCUGGCUGUAUUCUUAUUUUUUUUAUUUAUGAAGAACAACCAAUGCAUGACACUACACUUUA